rnacentral:miRNA from 1 species
GGUUGGCAUAAGGUGGUACCAUG